AAAAAGAAAAUAUAAAGGAUAAUAUCAUUUAAAAAGAGGAUAAUUAUUGUUCUCGUUGUAUUCAAGCUUCAGUAUACCAAAGUAAUUGAACUAGUAGAGGUGGGUUCGAACACAGGAAAAGACUGGUUAUAUGAAUUGGGUCUGUUAGUGUCACAAUUAACUAUACUCUAGCUAUCUAAAAUCAAUUAUCAAACUAAAAAAUACCAAAGCUUACUACUUUUGUCUUAAUUCAACACAUAAUCUAUUCUAUGACUAUGAAUUCAACAAUACUUCCAUAUUCUUAUCAGUUCAUUUUCCGCUCACUACCUUUGCCAUUUAUAUAUUCAAUUACUGAUCUCCACUUUACUUAUUAUGUACAAUUUCUCAAUUCAAUAUACAGAAUUCAAUAUCUUCACUUAAUACAAUAGAAUUUGAUAAUCUCAAUUUUAUAGAUCUUCUCCAAAAUGAUCAGUCCAAAAUCUUAUUCCACAAUAUUCUAAUCACAGUUUCAACAAUACUUCUCUUAAUUCCAAUUCUUCAUAAGAAAAAUAAAAAGAGGUAGCACCAAGCUUACCUUGGCUUGCGACUUUCAUAGUCGGACUCUUGGCUUAUGACUCUCACAAUAUGGCUUCCAGCUUACAACUCUCACAGUCUAGUCCUUGGCUUAUGACUCUCAUAGUUUGGCUCCGAUCUCUCUUUCCUCAACCUCUUUAUCCUACCAAAAAUAUGAUCCAUCGGCCAACGGAUUUCAAAGGUUAUGAUCCUUUGAAUUCUUAACGAUUUAUUCCCCUAACAACCUACUGUUACCAACU
rnacentral:lncRNA from 1 species